GUAAGUGCAGAUUUAGCAGCGCGGCUAACAGCAAAAAAAUAAAAAUAAAAACGCACACAGAGUUAGAAUCUGAGGACAUGACGAAGAGAAAUAAACUCAUAUUUAUUCCCAGGACAGAGUUACAGCUCGGAUUUAUUCUCCACACGUGAAUCUGUGGAUGAUUUUGAUGAUUCCUGGCGGUUGCUCUCAUCCGGACGGGUCGCGCGCGCAGGCAGCUAUGUGUGUCGGUGUGUCUCAUUCUGCUCUGACCAUUACAGCAGAAAUCUUCUACAUCUAAUCAAACUGGACAGCCUGCUGUGAGGUUUCAUUCAUCAGCUCAAGAGCAGACAGGUUUGAUAAAUGACCCGGACUCUGGCCUGUUCUCUCAUUCUCAUUGUCCUGUCUCACACACACAAACACACACACACACACACGCACACGCUAUACAAACUGACAGGAUGAAAUGUCUUUCUUCUACUAAUGCAACAGUUUCUCAGUUUGUUUAAAUAAGAAACUCUCAGUCUUAAAUGAAGAACAGUGCUUGCAGGAUAGUAGUACAAGUUUCAAAGUUGUACUUCGAUCCUUUUAGCGACUCCAUGUUUCAGUCAACACCAACAAACACCACAGUUAGAAACUUGUUAGAAACGAUCUUUCAGUCACAUAAUUGGAGAUCGUAUAGAGAGAGUUAGAGACCUUUGCUUUUCCCACUAUCAUGAAGAAAACAUACAAAAUGGCCAAAUAAAUGAACUAUGAGGCCAUUUUAGGUUUCUGCUUUACUGUUUGUCUUGUAUAAGAGACCAUAAGAGACCAUAUAAGAGUAAUACAACACAUCAAGAUGUGUUGUUAUUGGACAGUAUUCACAUUCGGGUUGGUAAGAGUAACUCCGCUUCGUCACACCACUCAAUCGCUGGUUAUUUUUCUCCGUCAUCAUGGCACAAGCGUUCCUUAAGAAACACACCCUUGAGCAGCAUUUGAAUCAACAGCGAAAGCAGUACUAAAAAGUUGUUUCCAAUCAAUUACCGCAGGGGCAGUUGUGCUUUCAUAGACCUUUGACCAUGAGCCAUGGCACUGCUGGGAAUUUAAACUUCUGAGCUGCAGAAUAUUGAUAUUCAUAUUUUAGAGCUGGAAUGAGCCCAGACACCUUACAGACCCUGAUUUAUUCAGUCACCUUGUACCUCAGUUUAACAGAACUACAUUUACAUUCACAUCAAGUUGACGUCAAGGCCAUUCAGCUUCGGAGAGUCUGAUUAUACUUGUAUUGAAUUAUAUUCUCUAUUUUGAGGUGUGAGACAGCAGCGCCAAGGGAAUGAGAUGAGGAAAAAGGGUCUGUGCUUAAUAGGGCAGCCUGGUAUUGAUUGGCCAAAGGCGAGAGAUCUUGAAAGUGGGAGGCAAUUAACUGCUCCAGUUAUUGUAUUGAAACACCACCGAAUCAAUAUUGCGGUAUACUGUAAUAAGGAAAUCUGACAUUGUGAUAUUGGUAACAUUUCCUGAUGUAGCACAUCAACACUAUUUCCGUGAGAAUUUUAUCAGUGCCUUAUAUCUUAUAUCUCUUGACAUCACCUUCAUAACUGGCCAUAAAGUAAUGUGACAAGACAAAUGUUAUGCGCUGUGUACUAUUGUACCACAAUGAAAAGCCAUGAACACUGUGGCUAUGUGUGUUUCAUUACCUUGGCCACGGUUGCAGAAAUAGCAUCUGUUUCCUUGAAUUUAAAGGAACAUAAAACUCCCAGGGAAAAAGCGGAGGUGACGGCGCGUGACCUCGGCUUGGCAGUUUUUCCGCAAGAGUUGAAGGUUUUGCGUUUUUCAGCAACAGAUCCCUUUAGAUGUUUAGAUGAUGUACGCUCCUUCUUUAACCGUUCCUCUUUCUAUUCAAUUGGACAAAUGGUCCAAUAUCAAUCUACAAUAUAUCCUCAUUUGUCAUUAAUUUGUUCUUUAUUUUAUCACAUUCCUUCCAUAUAUUAUGUUUUAUGUUUUCGAUACCUUCACUUUCACACUUUCAUGCCCUUCAUCUCAUAUUUUCCCGUCUUCUUGCUCUGAGAUCAUCACUCCCUGAAGUAGAGGAGGGGGUAAAUAUUAAUGGCGUGUCAAAGAGCAAGAUCAUUGGGAGUCACACUUACUUCUACUCAUUGUGCGUGUGUGGAGAAUAGGUUCCCUGUAUUUAUUUAUUUUAGAUGAAAAUGACGCUGGAGGACUUUUGAUUAGAAUAGUUGCUCCAUGGUUGGAUUUUUCAAAUCUGGAAGUGUACCUGCUUCUUGCAUAUUAUAGUUUGAAUCCGAGAUCGUCACGCUGCUGUCAACCUGCAGGCCAACUCUGAUGGAGACGUAAUUACCAUCUUUCAUCAACCAUCUGCUGGUGUAUCUCUCUCAUUUAGUUAAUUAGGAGAACAAGCCCUCAGGUUAAACUGGCACACACUUCAUCCAGGAAUC
ensembl:lncRNA